GAAAAAGGAAAAAAUAGGAUUAUUUAGUGGAAAUGUAGUUAUAAUUGUUACCAAUGGACUACCUCCAAAAUAAGCUCUAACCAGAUGAGCAAUCAUGGGCCUUGACAAAUGAAAUACUAUAAGGCUUCUCAUAGCCAGUAUGAACACUCAAUAUUGCAGGAUUUUACAUUCCCAUAUGAACCAAUCAAAUUUUCAAACCCAAUUCAGGUUCUUGGUUCUUUCACAGCUACAAGAUGCAAUAUAUCCAAUUCAGUUCUAGAAACUCUAGUUAUUGCCUCUUUGGAACUCAGGCACACUAAACAAGGUGAAAAUAGAACUCUAUGUGGGCUUUUGUGAUCUGAGGCAGAGUGGAGUGAAGAGAACAAUUUAUAUGAUAACAACAAAAUUAUUGUAAAGACAAGCACCUUUUUUUUUUCUAAGCAGAUAAAUCUUACCUUUAUUUUCAUUUCUGAAAAUGCUACAAGUUAAUCACAAAUGUGUUUUUCUGUUUAAAAUCUCAUUAGCUUCCUGAAUCAUACUAGAUUUUUACCAUACUUUGCCUUAAAACAUUGUCAUUGCUUCCCAUAAUAUAGCAACCUCUAAGCAGAAAAUUUUUUUUUAAUCUACAAUGUACUAGUUUUCUUAUCUCUCCAAAAAUUAUCAUCUUACAGAUCAUGAUGGUCUUUAAUUUCAGUAAUAGGCAUAUUUACUUCAAGAAAUUUUUUUUAAAUAGUUUUUUUGCCUGACUUGUUUUAUGGCAAUCAUCUCGAAAUAUAUUCUCCCUCUUUCCUCACCAAUUUAACUCUUCCUUGUUAGAAAGAUAAACAAGUAGUUAGGCAAUUGAAACAUAUGCAGCUUUCUUUUCUCAAUCUCUUGUCUUUCUUGUUAUCUGUACUCAUUUUUUUUUUUUUUGCAUUUUUAAAAUUAUAGCUUUUUAUUGACAGAACAUAUGCAUGGGCACUUAUAACAACUUUGUCCCUUGUACUCACUUCUGUUCCAACUUUUCCCUUCCCUCUCUUCACUCCCUCCCCUAGGUGGCAGGCAGUCUUAUACUUGUUAAAUAUGUUAAAGAAUACAUCCUCAUACAGUAUUGUUGUUAAAGUGUAUAAUGAUCUCCUGGUUCUGCUCAUUUCACUCAGCAUCAGUUCAUGUAAGUCUCUCCAAGCCUCUCUGAAAUCAUCCUGCUGGUCAUUUCUUACAGAACUAUAAUAUUCCACAACAUUCAUAUACCACAUUUUACCCAACCAAGGACAAGCACCUUUAAAAGACUUUGGAAUCCUACUCCAUACAAUGACCAAUGACAACUCUAGAGGAUCAAUGAUGAAACAUGCUGAUUACCUUCUGGUAGAGGUGAUGGCACUUAGGGGGCAGAAUAAAUUACAUUUUGUGGAGGAGGAUAUGACCAAUAUGGAAUUUGUUCUGCUUACUGUAUAUAUGUUUUUCAUUUAACAUGCAUUUUUUCAUAAAUUUAAUUUUUUGUCACUUAUAUGUAAGAGGAUUUUUAACAUGUUUUUUAAAAUUUCAAGUUUUCCUCCUUUUUUCCCUUUUCUCUGCCUUAAAAAGGCAAAAAACUCAAUCUAAAUUACACAUCUACAGUCUUGCAAUACUAUUUCUAUAUUAACCAUGCAGGAAAAAAUACAAACUAAAAAAGAAAAAAAAACCCACCAAAAACCCCAAGAAACCAAAGAAAGUUUAAAAAAAGUAUGCUUAGAUAUGCACUCAGAAUCAGUUCUUUCUCUGGAGAUGAAUAGCAUUUUUCACCAUGAGUCCUUCCGAAUUGUCUUGGAUCAUUAUACAAUGAGAACAGCUAAGUCAUUCACAGUUGAUUAUUGUAUAAUGUGGCUGUACUGUGUACAAUGUUCUCCUGGUUCUGCUCAUUUCACUUUGCAUUGGUUAAAAUAUACUGUCCAUGUUGAUUUGUUUCAGGAGAUUUUUUUUUCAAUGUGUGAAGAGAAGAUAAGCAGAGAAAAACAGACUUUUGUGGACUAAAAAUGAUUAAAUUAAAAACCCCUUAUAUAUGAGCUUCUUUAACUAGCUACUUCUUUGCUUUCUGUGGAAAGAUACAUAUAGACAUACACCUUAAAAAGAGGCAUUUUUUAAAAAUGGAAAUCUUGUAGCAUUUGAGUUUAAAUCCCAGAAUCAAUAAUCAAUCAAUCAAUGAGAAUUUAAUAAACUUAGCAGACAGUACUAGGUACUAAGUACACAAAUAUAUCCUGCCCUCAAGGGGCUUAUGUUUUGUAGGAAAUAUUCUUUAAAGGACAUAAGACAGUAGGAUGCAUUGAAAAGAAUAAUGGUUGGGCAGAUAGGUGAUCUAGAUUCUAAUUCCUGCUCAAUCACCAAAUAGCUACAUGACUUUGAACAGGCCACAUGCUCUUUGGGCCUUCAUGGUCUCAUCUAUAAAAAUAUGGGCGUUGGCUUAGAUGCUACUAUGAAAAACUCUUAAUUCUUACACAGAUGGAGGCUAUCUAUGUUACUGAAAUGGAUACAGAUUCUGUUUCCUUGACUUACACCACACAGUGAUUUAACAAUGCUGUGUCAAUUAGUUCUUUAUGACUAAGCUAGACUCUUACAGUCCAACUUUGCUUAGAACACUUUUACUAUUAUUUAUUCUACUAUCAUUAAUUAAUUAAUUAUUAUUUAUUUUACUAUUACUAUUACUACUUGGUUAGACAGUUCUCCGCUCCAAUUCUAGGUUAAAACCCACUUCUAAAACUGGGGGUCCCAUCUGGCCAAUAGCUAACACACAUCCAACACUUUAAAAUGUGCGUAUGCCCUUGUACACACCAUUUUAUCUGAGUCUAACAGUACAUAGGUAUUGUUUUAUGCCUCUAGCAGAUGACUGAGAAUCACAGAGAUUAGGUGACUUGGUAGGGUCACUUAGCUAAUGUCUCAGGCAGGAUUGAACCCAAGCCUACUGACUGUGAGGAGUUCAGGUUCUGUCCUGCCUCUCUUUGUUGGUUCCUAAAGUCCAUUUUGUUUCUGUGGACAUUUGAGUACACUUUUACUCUUCCUGACACCCCCACAUCCCAAUCUGUUGCUUGGUGUCUUCACAUCAUCUCCAGAAUAUCUCUUGCUUUGGUCUGGCCCUUUCUACUUCCUUUUGAUAGUCUGGUGUACUCUCUCAGCCUCAUUUCACAUUCUCAUCACUUUUUUUGCAUUUGCUCCCUUUUUAAUCCAGCCUUUUCACUGCUGUGAAGAUUGUCUUUCCGAUAUAGAUAAUUCAGAUUUUGUCUUUCUCUGCUUAAAAGCUUGUAUGGACUGCUUAAGAAACAAAACCCCAAUUUCUUAAUCUGACAUUCAAGGGCCCAGACUUAAUUCAGACUUUACUCACUUCAAAUACUGUGAAACUAAGCCAUGUACUAUUUUCUCUCACUUCUAUGUAUUUGCACCCACUGGCCAACAUAUCUAAAAAGGACAUGCCUGCCUUUUUCCACUUCAGGUUGCUGAAUUCAAGUGUCACUUCCUCCAUGAAAUCUUCCAAUUGCUCCUAAUCGAAUUUAUCUUUCCUUUCUCAGGUGUUUGAUUUCAUCUAAGGAUCUUAUAAAAAUUUUCCCAUUUUUGUCACUCUGGUACCUAGCAUACAGUAGUAGCAUGUAGGAUCAACCACCAGGACAACACUGUUAAAACUCAAACUCUGAUAACUAAACACACAAAGUUCACUUUUUGUGGAUUCAACGAUGAACACCUGGUAGUUCAUAAGGAUCAAUUCAAAAUCCCUCAGGUUAAUGAUGAAGUCAGAAAUGAAAGAAAUAAACUGAAGGGAAAAUACAUUUUCUCAUAAAGUUAAACACCAGAUGUUUCUUCUAAUUAAGUUUCUAAUCAAACUAGCUAUAUCUACCAAGAAAAUCUUUUCUAAGGAACAAGUAAAAACAAAACCCAUAUAUAAAUGUAAAUUACACAAAACCCCAAAGGAUUAGACCCAAAAGAUAAACAAAUCUUUCUAGUCUUUACUAAUAAUACCAGCUUGUCUUGUGCUAUUUUCAUAUGUAAUGCUCAAAACAAAUAGGAGAAAUGGGUUCAGUCACAUAGAGUCAGCAGUUUCAGCCAGUCCACUUGCCUGUUUGCUCCUAACACAAAUUGUGGUUAAUAAGUGAGCCAUUCUGUUGCCUUCAAAGCAGAGCUGGUAAACAGCAACUCGGGCAUGCCAGAAACCUGUUCAGUACAAGCCUUAACACGCCUUAAACUGAGUACUUUUUUCUGGACUAAAAAAAUAUCCAGGAACUUCUCCCAAAGCUGCCCAGAAGAAGAGAGCAGCCAUAUUCUGAAGCUCAUGCUUUCAGUGAGGAACCUGGCUGAGAGAGGACAGAGGGUUUGCUUUUUAUGACGGCAGAUGGCAAAGAACAGACACAUGCAGGUGGACUACAUGGCUCCCAUCUAGUGGGGAGAAAGAGAAAAAGUCCUUACACUGAGAGGGAGAAACCUGCCUGCCACCCACCUCAUCCAUUUGCAAGAUGCUGGAGAAUAUAUUGUCAAUGGGGCAGCUCGAUGGUGCAGUGGAUGGAGCACUGGUCCUGAAUUCAGAAGGAUCUGAGUUCAAAGCCAUCUUUGGACACUUAACACUUCCCAGCUGGAUGACACUGGAAUGGAUGGAGCAAUGGAUUUGGAGUCAGGAAGACCCAACUUCAGAUCCCACCUGUGGCAUCUAAUAGUUGACAAUCUAAUAGUUGAGUAGAAAUCUCUGAAGUUUUCAAGAAACAUUGUGGAAGAGGGAAAAGAACACUGAACUUGGAGUAAAAAACAAAACAAAACAAAACCCACUAAUAAAUAAAACUGAAUUUGA